CCUGCAUGAAGCUGGAAUUGCUAGUAAUCGCGGAUCAGCAAGCCGCGGUGAAUACGUUCCCGGGCCUUGUACACACCGCCCGUCACACCAUGAGAGUCGGGAACACCCGAAGUCCGUAGUCUAACCGCAAGGGGGGCGCGGCCGAAGGUGGGUCCGGUAAUUGGGGUGAAGUCGUAACAAGGUAUC
rnacentral:rRNA from 1 species